UAAAGUGUUACUCCUGCAGGAGCUACACACUUAUGUUUGUAGAUAACCUAAAUUUUAUGAAUGCAUGAUUGAAAUGAUUUUUUUGAUUAGGUUAGUUUUCCAAGUAGUAAGAUGUUUACUGCUACAAUUGAUACAUAUGGAAAGUUAAGGGAAAUAUGAUGCUUUGGUUACAGUUUAUUUGAUUCAUUCAUAAACUUCUAGCUCUCGCACAUGUGCCAGCUGUAUGUAUACCAAUGGAAAAAAUAGAAGUAAUUAGGUUGCUUGAUUUCUACCUUAAAAGGAGAUUUCAUUCUAUUUACUCCCUUGAUUAAUUUCAUUGUAUUGUGCUUAUAGGGUUGGAUGUCAAGGAGAUUCCCACGCCAAUGCUGACAAUGACCAGUUUUGAUGCUCUGCUGCACAAACAAAUAGGAUACCAAGAUAAAGUUCGUAAAUUUUAGUGCAAAGGUGAAUUCAUAGUGUUCUUUAAAAGCUAUGUUUCUUAUAUAUCUACAGUGUUGGCUGCUAUAAUUAUCCUUCAUGUCACAGUUUAUCCAUACCUCACUGAUUGCAAUAUUUAUACAUGCGCAAAGUGCUGAUUUUUUGGCGCUCUAAGAUUAUUGUACUAUAUGCCCUGAUGUGGCAUUCAGUUACCUGUCAAACUCUUUGUGGACUUGUUUAUUUUCUUCUCUCCAUCUUAUAAACCCGAGAAAUAUGCACUGCCAAUGCAAUCUAAUCGAAUAUUAGUUUGAUAGCUGAGUGUGUGUUUUUUGAGCUAGGAGGGAGGAAGGAGAUAUGAGGCAGGAGAUUUUUUUAUACGGGUGUCCUGUGGAGGCAGCAAGCACGACACAUGUAUUCUGAGAUUUUUUUUGGGUAUGAUCGCAGAUGAUGUAGCUAAAGAUGGCUACUGGAAGUUUUGUAAGGCCCCAAUUUAUGAUGCAUUUAGGAUGACUCCUCUCAGUUUCUACUUGCCUCGGAAAAAUUCUCUUGUGGAUGAUCUGGUUUGAAGGAUUAGUCUCUAGCUGACAUAUUCUGGGUAUUGGAAAAAUGUUCUAGCGGUAUUCUAUCUCUUUGCUGCACGCUAGCUACAAGAGUGUGCCAUGUGACUUGGAUUAGGUGGGUUGUUUGGGUCUGCCGAUAGAGGAGAAGCAAGGGAAGAUGAUGUCAUUGCACUUAUGAUUUAUUUGGCCAUGAUUGCUCUUAGGAAUUGUGUGUCAGUAGUGUUCUUAAAUUAAUUUAAAU